rnacentral:rRNA from 1 species
AGAGUUUGAUCCUGGCUCAGGAUGAACGCUAGCGGCAGGCUUAACACAUGCAAGUCGAGGGGUAUAGUUCUUCGGAACUAGAGACCGGCGCACGGGUGCGUAACGCGUAUGCAAUCUACCUUUUACAGGGGAAUAGCCCAGAGAAAUUUGGAUUAAUGCCUCAUAGUAUAUAUCAUUCGCAUGUUUGAUAUAUUAAAGUUCCAACGGUAAAAGAUGAGCAUGCGUCCCAUUAGUUAGUUGGUAAGGUAACGGCUUACCAAGACGAUGAUGGGUAGGGGUCCUGAGAGGGAGAUCCCCCACACUGGUACUGAGACACGGACCAGACUCCUACGGGGAGGCAGCAGUGAGGAAUAUUGGACAAUGGGCGCAAGCCUGAUCCAGCCAUGCCGCGUGCAGGAAGACGGUCCUAUGGAUUGUAAACUGCUUUUGUACGGGAAGAAACAUCACUACGUGUAGUGACUUGACGGUACCGUAAGAAUAAGGAUCGGCUAACUCCGUGCCAGCAGCCGCGGUAAUACGGAGGAUCCAAGCGUUAUCCGGAAUCAUUGGGUUUAAAGGGUCCGUAGGCGGUUUAAUAAGUCAGUGGUGAAAUCUGGUCGCUCAACGAUCAAACGGCCAUUGAUACUGUUAAACUUGAAUUACAAGGAAGUAACUAGAAUAUGUAGUGUAGCGGUGAAAUGCUUAGAUAUUACAUGGAAUACCAAUUGCGAAGGCAGGUUACUACUUGUGGAUUGACGCUGAUGGACGAAAGCGUGGGGAGCGAACAGGAUUAGAUACCCUGGUAGUCCACGCCGUAAACGAU